GUCAGCGUACCUGGAGGUCAGCGUACCUGAGGUCAGCGUACCUGGAGGUCUGAGGUCAGCGUACCUGGAGGUCUGAGGUCAGCGUACCUGGAGGUCUGAGGUCAGCGUACCUGGAGG